rnacentral:rRNA from 1 species
UACAGAGGGUGCGAGCGUUAAUCGGAAUUAUUGGGCGUAAAGCGUGCGCAGGCGGUCUCUUAAGACAGGUGUGAAAUCCCCGGGCUUAACCUGGGAACUGCGCUUGUAACUGAGAGGCUAGAGUGUGGCAGAGGGGGGUGGAAUUCCACGUGUAGCAGUGAAAUGCGUAGAUAUGUGGAGGAACACCGAUGGCGAAGGCAGCCCCCUGGGCUAACACUGACGCUCAUGCACGAAAGCGUGGGGAGCAAACAGG